rnacentral:misc_RNA from 1 species
UACGGAGGGUGCAAGCGUUGUCCGGAAUCACUGGGUGUAAAGGGUGUGUAGGCGGGCCCGCAAGUCAGAGGUGAAAGCCACCGGCUCAACCGGUGAAUUGCCUUUGAUACUGUGGGUCUUGAGUCCCGGAGAGGCUGUUGGAAUUCGUGGUGUAGCGGUGAAAUGCGUAGAUAUCACGAGGAACACCUAGGGUGAAGACUGGCAGCUGGACGGGUACUGACGCUGAGGCACGAAAGCGUGGGGAGCGAACAGG